GACAGAGGUGCCGAGCGUUAGGCGGAAUCACUGGGCUUAAAGCGUGUGUAGGCGGCGGCGUAAGUACCUUGUGAAAUCCCACGGCUCAACCGUGGAACUGCUCGGUAUACUGCGUCGCUUGAGCCAGCUAGGGGCGACCGGAACAAACGGUGGAGCGGUGAAAUGCGUAGAUAUCGGUAGGAACACCAGUGGCGAAGGCGGUUUCCUGGAGCCCACUUGACGCUGAGACGCGAAAGCUGGGGGAGCAAACAGG
rnacentral:rRNA from 1 species